rnacentral:rRNA from 1 species
GACGAACGCUGGCGGCGUGCUUAACACAUGCAAGUCGAACGGUAAGGCCCUUCGGGGUACACGAGUGGCGAACGGGUGAGUAACACGUGGGUGAUCUGCCCUGCACUUCGGGAUAAGCCUGGGAAACUGGGUCUAAUACCGGAUAGGACCACUGCCUGCAUGGGUGGGGGUGGAAAGCUUUUGCGGUGUGGGAUGGGCCCGCGGCCUAUCAGCUUGUUGGUGGGGUGCUGGCCUACCAAGGCGACGACGGGUAGCCGGCCUGAGAGGGUGACCGGCCACACUGAGACUGAGAUACGGCCUAGACUCCUACGGGAGGCAGCAGUGGGGAAUAUUGCACAAUGGGCGCAAGCCUGAUGCAGCGACGCCGCGUGAGGGAUGACGGCCUUCGGGUUGUAAACCUCUUUCAGCACCGACGAAGCGCAAGUGACGGUAGGUGCAGAAGAAGGACCGGCCAACUACGUGCCAGCAGCCGCCGUAA